rnacentral:lncRNA from 1 species
CCCCUGCCGGAAGAAGUUUGGGUGCAGCCCAGUAUUCAAGCUCCAGGACAAAGGGGGCGGGGAGGCCGCCACUAGCAAACAACCUCAGCUUCAUAAAUCCAGCAGAAAGGUCCGGGGUAUUGUUGAAAAGGUCGGAAGGACCAAGAUUAUGUCCGCCAGCCUAAGUGGGACGAACAACCAAGUUGUGCGAUGCAGCUUUAAAGGGGCUGGUGAUUGACAGAAUGGUGUAGUAGUAGAUGGGGUGGAGCCGCUGGGUGGGGUCGAGACUGGCAGCUGAGAGAUACCAAAAGGAAGAAAAAAGAAAACCAUUGCUCUUGAUAUUGCUAAUGCCGGGGGAGGUAAGCUAACGAGAAAGUAGGGAAAAGGAAGGUUUUAGAGUUCACCUCCACUCCUUCCCCUGGCUAACACUCUUUACACUCUUCUGCCUUCCCUUGAGAUAAUUAAAAUAGACUGUACACCGGCCCUAGUCGGUGCCCAUUCCCCCUAACUCUUCACUCAACUACGUGUGUAGUCCGAGGGAGUGAGGACCCCGGGUCCAAGAGCUCAAUCCCGGCCCCGCCCCGUCGGCCCAGGCCCCGGGGCUGGGAGGAGAGGAUGCCUUCGGAGGCGCAGAAUCCGAAAAAGCUGGGCAGAGAAAUCGAGCUGCAAAAUGACCUACAGAUAUUACAGUUUUAUUCUUGGAAAAUGGAGGUUGUCUAUUAGUGUGAUGGUAACAACCAACUAAUAAAAUUUGGAGACUAGACUGCU